rnacentral:lncRNA from 1 species
UUUUGUCCACAGCUCCUGACUAUGACUGAAGCCAGUGGCUGGGUUGAAAAUUCAAGUUGGGCCUUGGAUUCUCAACAUAGCUGCCUUACUUAAUUGAUGGGUCACAUAAGGUCACCCAGAGCAAUGCCAUCCUGUAUCUCACUGCCUAUAAGGUUUAACAGAGUGGAGAGACAGAGGAGGAGAGGAUUCGUGUGGACAUUUUGGAGAACCAGGCUAUGGACACCCGCAUACAGUUGGCCAUGGUUUGCUACAGCCCUGACUUUGAGAGAUGGAAGCCAGAGGACUUAGAGGGCAUCCCUGAGCAUCUUUGGGAAGAUCAAGCUCUGCUGUGAGUUCUUUGGGUUCACCCAUGGUUUGCAGGAGAUAAGGUAAAGUUGGGGGGGGGAGAUGAGGCUGAGGACACUGUGCAUUUGAGUGUCGGAACCCGUUCCCAGACCGGAAGGAUUUCAUAGCUCCAUUUUAGGCGAUCUUUCCUGGAUCCCCCUCCUUUUGGACGAAUUUCUUCCUUUCCCCCUUUCCACAAUGCCUCCCUUGGAAUGGGAAUGA